rnacentral:lncRNA from 1 species
AUGCUGGCAGCCGCAGGCCUGCAAUUAACAAACGAGGUGCAUAGAUCGGUGCCUGCAAUUAACAAGGAGUGGAGUAGAGAUCGGUGCCUGCAAUUAAAAACAGAGGUAGAGGAGCGAUCGGUGCCUGCAAUUAACAAGGGGUGCAGCGAUCUGUGUCUGCAAUUAACAAACAGGGGUGGAGAGAUCGGCGCGCUGCUAAGCGCAGGCACCGGGGCCCGCCGGCGAGCGGGGGCUGGACCCCGGUGGGCCGGCUCCGGGCUCACCCGGUGCGGAGGGGCGGGCCGCCUUCCCACUGGUCCGCUCCAGCCGCGCGGCCUGCUGGCCACAGUUCCCAGCGGGCACCACCCGCUCGCGAGCCAGGCAGCCCCGGGCGGCGCGCGCCGGUCCGAGGGCGGGGACGUGCUCCGAGGACGCGCGCGGGGCUGGGCCUCCAACCGCCGCUCGCGGGGAAGAGGGCGGCUUCCCGCAAAGCCCGCCGCCGCCGCCGCCGCCGCCGCCGACUCGGAGGUGCCGAGGGUUGUGGGGGAGCUCGGGGCGCGCGGGAACAUCGCCGUCGCCCGGCGCGGCCCGGAGAAACUCUCGGCGUGGGCCACAGAACCCUUUGUCACAGGAGCAAUGCUGCCCUGGUGGGAACUGUCCUUUUACCUGUUAGCUUCCAUAGGCUUCCACUUCUAUUCCUUCUAUGAAGUCUACAAAGUCUCCAGAGAACAUGAAGAGGAGCUGGACCGAGAAUUUGACCUGGAGACUGACACUUUAUUCGGAGGAUUAAAGAAGGACCCGACUGACUUUGAGUGGAGCUUCUGGAUGGAGUGGGGGAAGGAGCGGCUGGUGUGGUUAUUCCUUGGCCACAUGAGCGUGUCUCAAGUCGCCAACCUGCUUUCGAGGAAGAUGCAGCAGCAGGAGCAGAGCUCGCCGAAGACCAGCCUUUCCAUCCUUGCCUUGGGGCUGGGCCGUCUCCUCUUCUACUGGUGGCUGGCAGAGCUGAUGGUUCAUCUCAUGUACAUGCACGCCAUCUACAGCAGUGCCUCCCUCCUGAGGGCCGUCUCGAGCUGGACCUUAGGAGGUCUGGCGCUGGCCCAGGUGCUCUUCUUCUACGUGAAGUACUUGGUGCUCUUCGGUGUCCCGGCUCUGCUCAUGCGCCUGGAUGGACUCAGGCCGCCGCCGCUCCCUCGCUGUGUGAGCACCAUGUUCAGCUUCACGGGGAUGUGGAGGCAUUUUGACGUUGGACUACAUGAUUUCUUGGUUAGGUACGUGUACAUCCCAGCGGGCGGGUCACAGCAUGGCCUGCUGGGGGCCCUCUUCUCCACUGCGAUGACGUUCGCGUUUGUGAGCUUCUGGCACGGCGGGAACGACUACCUGUGGUGCUGGGCCACCCUCAACUGGCUGGGGGUCACCGUGGAGAACGGCGUCCAGAAGCUCGUGCAGAGGCCGCGCAUCCAGCACAGCUUGGCCCAGUUCCUCUCCCCAGGAGCUCGCCGGCGAUUGCAUGCCGCUCUUGCCUCUUGUUCCACCUCCAUGCUGAUCCUGUCCAACCUGGUGUUUCUUGGGGGCAGUCAAGUCGGGGAAAUCUACUGGGAUAGGAUCUUCAUACAAGGCUGGCCGUGUGUGACCCUGUCUGUCCUGGGAUGCCUGUACUGCUACGCGCACGUGGGCAUUGCCUGGGCCCACACUUACUCUGGUAACUGA